UAACCUGCCCAAGAGAUCGGGAUAACACCUGGAAACAGGAUGCUAAUACCGGAUAACAACAGAUGAUGCCUAAUCAACUGUUUAAAAGAUGGUUCUGCUAUCACUCUUGGAUGGACCUGCGGUGCAUUAGCUAGUUGGUAGGGUAACGGCCUACCAAGGCGAUGAUGCAUAGCCGAGUUGAGAGACUGAUCGGCCACAUUGGGACUGAGACACGGCCCAAACUCCUACGGGAGGCAGCAGC
rnacentral:rRNA from 1 species